CAGCUGCCCUGGUGUGAAAAUACCUGACAACCCCCCAUCUCCUUUGCCUUUUGGAUCUUCAUGUCUGGUUGCAUUCUUACAGCCUUUUGACCCCCUGUCAUGAUCCCUAAUCUAAAAGUCAUCUUCCUGUUUCUUUGGUUGCUUCAGUGUGGAGGGGGAAAUGUCGACGUACAGCAGAAACCUCCAAUCCAGGUUACCUUGCUCAAGGAAGGAACAUCCAUCCCCUGUAAAGUCAUCUUCCCUUACAUGCCGAAAUACACCAAAUUUUCAAUCUGCUAUUACCGGAUUAAUUCACUGGAUCAGAAGACAUCUAUCCAUAGUAGGUUGGAAAAUGUAGCCAUUCCUUCUGGAGAGGAGAAUAAAACUGCUGCCUUAUCUUACGACUACAGAAUCAUGUCACUUGAAAACACCUCUUCUACUGGCACAUACUACUGCAAGGUCAAAUGGAAUGAUAUCCAAAAAAUGGGAAAAGGAGUAUUUGUCCUUGUUAGAGAUACAGGAUACAUAAAUAUCUCUUAUGGGUGGGAAAUCCUCGUUACCCUUACUAUUCUCCUUGCAGUAUUGAGCGUCACCACAACAGCUCUGCUUCUAUGGAAAAGGAAGGUGUUGUGCCCUAGAAGGAACCAGCCCAAUAUCCUGAGACAGGAGGUGGAAACACAGCUCCCUUCAGCCAGCCCACCACCACCUCCUGUCUAUGAUAGCCUGGAUGUACAGCAAGUUGAUGUCUAUUCUAGCCUUGAGAACAACACAAGCAACCCAUCACACAGAAAGAAUUCUCCAGGGAAGCAUUAAGCACCUGAGAGCCAUUUCAUGGUAGCAGAAGCUAAGAUCAUUUGAGCAGAGACUGAGCUGAUACAAUCUCUGCUGUCACGUCUGGUGCUCAGGAAAAAGGAGUGUGGACACCUAAGAAGCAAGAAACUCUAGAAGAAUGCUCUGAUACAUUGUAUGAGAAUAUCUAACAGGGAAGAUAUUUGACCCCAUGUGGACCAGACAUCUUUCUGUAUGCAUCUCUUAUAUCCCAGAUGAGAUGCAGAUACCUGCAGAGAUCCACAGUGACUUCAGAGCACAACCACAAGGGAAUUGUGAACCCCUGGCUCCUUUUAAACUGCCCUUCAUUAACAACAGAAUGUAUCUGUUAAAAUCCCUCGGGGCUCAGUCUGCAGUGAAGCAGCAAAGCUAUUUUGCAGCAAAACAGUUUGAUGCAAAAGAAAAGCUGCUUUUGUCAAGCACUUAUCUUGGGCAAUAUGUGAAGGUUUCUCUCACCUGCCCCGGCUGAAAUACUUAACUCUUGAUCCUCUGCAAGUGGUAGGACAAUCCAGAAACUUGCCUGCUUGCUGGCUUGAUGUUCCGAUCCUGGCCUGCAGCUGCCCAUCUGAUCCUGUGCUUGUGGCUUUGCCUAAAUGGCCAUCAGGACUUCAUGCAUUAUUUAACCAGAUCCAAGUAUCCACUUGCCCAUUUUCCCUUUCUCAGGAACCCCACAGCAAACACACUUUCUCAUAAUCUGCUAAUCCCAUCAGGUAGUCACAGAUGCCUGCUGUGACCUUACUCGAGAACAAAUCAGUGCCUCCAUAUUGCUUCCCCUUCAGCAAUAUGAGCAGUACACAGUGAGGACUGGAUGCACUGACGGAAGUAAAGGCAGAGAAAAGGAACACAGAGAAAAUAUCCCUUCCUGACAACAUAUGUCAGUGACCAUUCCCAAACAAGACAGAGGAACAAGGAGGUGGGAACAUGAGAAAACUCCCUUGCUGGGGCUGCAUAAGUCAUGCAGGUCUGGAGCCAGGUUUCAGCCCGCAGAAGUCCAAGUAGAGCUACCGUUUCCUUUUCUUCUUGGCAAUGGGCAUUGUUAUCACUUGGGAUUUUGAGCCUCUAUGGGAUCAGGCAUGGUACCUCUGCCCCACCAAAAUCAACAGGUUUGCCUUUGUUUCAGCUGGCUGCUGUAGAGUACAAAGCUCCUUUACCCUCAUACCAUACAUUAUUGGCUAGGGAGAGCACUUCCAAAACUUAAAAUGACUGGAGGAAGGAGGAGGGAAGCUUUAGAAAUGAAUUUGCUAUCCAAGUUUUUUCUCCCCUGUCAGCUGGAACUUGCCAACCAUUUCUGCUGAUGCAUAUUCUGGUUCUGAUAGGGAAGAAGUUACAUUAAAUAUCUGUAUAACAUGAUCAAACCAGGAGAUCAAAAAGCUGGGGCUGUUUUUUAUCUCAUAUUAAAAACCAACAACCAAACAAAACCAACCCAGAAUAAAAAUAUGCAGCAUAACUUGAGAGGAAUUGUAGAAACCUCUUUAAAAAAGAAGAGCAAAUUAAAAUUGAGCUCCAGGAUCAUAGGACCCUCUCUAGCUGAAGAUAAUGUUGCUAUGUAUCAGAGAUAGAGGCUAUGGAAAAUGUCUCCGGGGCCUCCGACCUUCCUAUACUAUGUUUAAAGAGAUAAUCCACUUACUGCUUUACUCUUUUUAUUAGAAAAGAUUUCACACAUGCAGUUUGGACUUUCUUUAACCACAGAAAAAUGCUUUUUCUCUUCUCAGUGCUGAGGAAUUCAUUUCAGAAAAGGCAAUGAAUGGACAGCAUGGCUUAUUUGACCCAUUUAUCAUUUAAAUGAUCACAAUAAUUAUAAAUAUUUUUGAUGUAAAAAGUUUUAGAUUUUACUAAUAUGACCAGGAAAUAUUUGUGUUCACAGAAGAAUUUACAGAGGAUUGUACAGGUAUAACAAUUCCUUUCCUUAACAAAUUUGAAGAAAUUAUGAAUUAUAAAUAUGUUGUAGUAUGGCACAAAAAUAUUCAGCAGAUGCUGGUGGAUUAGAUGAAAAGUAAAAACUUUCAAAA